rnacentral:misc_RNA from 1 species
AUCUUGAUCGCUCUUUCAUUCUGCUAUGUCUUCUUCAGCAAUGGGGAUUCUCUUGAUUCUCGUAACAGGUAUGGUAUUAUCAUCGACGGCGGCAGCACGGGCACCCGGAUUCACGUGUUCGCUACCGAAUCGAGGGCGGUAAACCGGUUUUCGAUUUCGGGGAUGGGGCGAUGAGGGUGAAUCCGGGAUUGUCGGCGCAUGUGAACGAUCCGGAAGGGGCCGGUAGAUCCUUGGAGGAGCUCCUGGAGUUUGGAAAAGGGAGAGUGCCGAAAAAGCUUUGGGGAGAGACGGAGAUUCG